rnacentral:ncRNA from 2 species
UGCGCUACCUCGGGGUGCCGGGGGGCGUUUCACGCGCCCCGGCUGAGAUGCGCAAGCGGACCCGUUGAACCUGAACCGGUUAAUGCCGGCGGAGGGAAGGUAUCCGGGAACUCU